rnacentral:lncRNA from 1 species
CCCUUCGCACACAUGACGCAGGGUCAGGACUGUAUGCAUAAGCAGGGUGUCUGCACGUCACUUCGCACACGAACUGGUGUCGCAUACUAUACGCGCGCCAUCUGCGCAACAGACUGCGCAGAUAAGCUUGUGCGCCUGGGGCCUGUGCACACGGCACAUAGUGCACCUAGGCCCAAUGCACGCACAAUAGCAGGCCUAUGCGCCUGUAUGCUAGACUGCAAUGCGCCGGCCGGGCAUUGCAAGCUCGGGCAGUGCACCGCUGAUAAAGGAAGCCUUCUUAUAUUAAAGAAUCAACAACAACAAUUAAAUUGGUGAAAAAUUGAUAAUGCCACAAUAGGCAGAAAAAAAAAAAAUAAUUUGGUUGUUGACAACUUAAAAGGUACAAGACAACAUUACGAGUGAAGCUGUCAUAAAUAUUGAAAUUUUUGGAAAGAAAAAUACACAGGAAUUUACGAUUAAAUCUUCAAAACAACAAAAAAGCUUCUUAGAACCUUGGCCUGCAAUGCUUUUCUUUUGGCAAAAAAAAAUCCAAAAUUGAUUUGCUCGUUAAAAAUAAGUAAUUCAAAUAAAUUCAACGAAUUCUAAAAUUUAGAUACUCGUAUGAAUUGAACAAAAUUAAAAUUUGAAUACAAAAUGAUUAUAACAAGGGCGAAAUCAUACUAGUGAAAGCAGGUAAUGAUGCAUAGAUUAGAUCUUCAGAUGAUUGCUUCCAUGUGUUAUCUCCUCUUGCAACUCCUCCUUUAGUCACGAUAUCUGCAAAUUAAUUUGUUUCUAAAAAAGUAUGAAGAAACUAGACUCGAUGCAAAGAAUUUGAGAAAUUGUGAAUUUUUUUCUCACUAAUUAAACACUGUCUAUUAUUAUCAUUCAAAGAAAAUAUUCAAGAAAUAACGAUUUAUCUAGUCACUUUCCACAAUUAAGAAAAAAUCCAUCAUAGCUAAUAGAUAAAAGAAUAUUAAUUCAUAUCAAUAUUGACACCUCAGAAAGAAGAGAAAACAUUUUAGAAUAAUAUCCACUUUAGAUGUAGUACUUGUGUUAUAGUCUAAUUUCGUAUCCUCAAUUUUUCAAUUUCUAUUAAAAAAUUAAAAUAAAUGGUAAAAUCAUGAAAAAAAUUAUCUCAAUUAAAAUUUUAAAAUCUUUAAAUAGGCCAAAUUAAAUCUUGGAACAAAACUUUUUAAAAGAAAAAAUUAAGGAAGUCAAACUUCGUUCUUAUUAUUUAAGUGCAAUAUAGUUUGUGCCUAUAGUUCUCUUCAAGGUUUAUUUCUAUACGAUUUUCAAGCCCAUUCAAACUUAAGCUACAUGAUGUUGUUGCUCGUAAAGAACAAAAGAAGAAAACCUAACUAAGGGAUAUAUGAACCUUUAGCUUAUAAGUUUCGAGAUAAAAAUUGAAUUUUUAUUGACUACUCAUGUAAAGAGAUUGAUGAUAUGGUAAGAGAAGACAAGAAAUACAAGGAAAUGGUGAUAUGACCAACGAUACACAAUGAAUUAAUAAAACAAAAUAUAACAUUGAUGGCAUCAUUUUGACAUAGUAAGUGAGGCUCUCACGACGAACAACAGCUAGAGAAAGGAAAUUUGAAUAAGCAACUAGAAUGGGGGUAAUUGGACUAUAGAGGGUGCAAACUAAGGUUAUGUAUGGAAGACAAGAUAAGAAAAAAAGAGAAACCAAAAUCCUUACAAAGAGCAAGAAAACAACAACGAGAGUAGCAAGGAGGAACUUAGCAACAAUAACCAAUAUAGGAAAUAACAUAUAUACCAAUUUGUACUGGUUAACAUAUAUUAACCAGAAAUCAUAAUUUAAACAAGAUGUCCUCUCGUGGUACAAUCUUAAAGCGGGUAAUAUUGAAAAAAUGAACAAGGAGUCUUAUCAUAAAGCAGGACAGAAGAAGAGAAUCACUGAACAACAAUCAAAUUAUCAAAUAAGCGGGAAGAUGGAGGAGAAAUUAAAUUAGUAGUUCUCUUUCAAGGACUUCAUUUUAGUGCAAUUAGGAGAAAAGGGACAGAGCUACCACGAAAUUAAACUUGAAAAAAAUGAACAGAGAAAUGCAAAACAAGUAAAAGAACUAAAGUAGUUCUUCAGUCUAUGAACUCAACUAUACUAAUCACUCGAAUCUAGAGCCAUAUAUAUUAAUUUCCUUAAGAUAACUUAUAACAAAGAACCAAAUUUGGAAUGAGCCAAAUCUAUAGCCACGGGAUUCAACUCCAAAAGGAAAAAGUACUCCCUAUAAAUGAGUAUACUUUCAUGGUGCAAAACCUAUUGGCUCUUCAUCUUGUUUCAUACUCGAAUAAUUUGUAAUCCCUCAAUUUGACCAUAAUCUGAACCCCAAUAUUGUCUUUGAUCAAUAACACAUAAGGCAUCCUCUACUAGAUUUGUAGUCAGUCUAUAUGCAAAAAUUCUCAAAUUAAAAUGAAUUAGAAAAAACAAAGGUGUUGAACCCAGACAGAUAUAAGCUCAAAUCUCCUACAUUUGAAGAGCUUGAAAGCUACACAGGGGCCAGAGCAGUAAAAGAACCCAAAAGAUUAGCAAACCAAAAACAGAGACAUAAAAAUGAAUCAAAACAAAAUAUAAAUUGGGGACAUGCUCCUCCAAUUGUUGUUGCUAAAGGAGAAGUAAUCGAUGAUCAAGUUAAUGAGUUUUCUCUUGUGGAGAUGUCAGAAAAGUAAAUCAAAUAUUUGAUCUUUAAUUCCAAAAAACUGGUACUCAAAUAAUGUAUAUAUGAAAUGAUAAAUAUGGUUUUAUCCCAUAGUUGAAUCUCUCUUAAUGAUGUAAAUUAAUAUAUGCUUAUUUUUAUUUUCUUUAUAUGUUACAAGAUUAUGCUUAAAUAAUGAAUUAUUGUUUACAAUGCACAAAUAAGGUUGAAGAACGGUCAUAUAUAAGUCUUGUAUUGCAUCUAAAGUUAUGUUCUAGUACAAAAUCUAAAAUUAGAUAUGUCAAAUAAAUAGACCAUCUCCUCAUGCUAGUAAUCAUGUGCGCUUAUUAAUCUUCUAUGUCAUCUAGGUAACUUUACACAAAAUAGUUAAAUAUUGUGUAAUCUAUUAAAUUGAAAAUUUCACAUAUAACCUUUGAUCCACUAACAGUUGGUGUGUUGUAUUUUACAUUUUGAUGCAUUUUAGAUCUUAUAGUUUACUAUAGAAUUGUCAAAAAAUAGAUAGGGAUUAAAUAAAUUUCUCGCCCCGACAGACAUUAAAUAAAACCAAACUAUAUACAUUCAUACCUAUUGUGUAUGAAAAUAUUGAAAGCUCUUAUAUUAAAGAAUCAACAACAACAAUUAAAUUGGUGAGAAACUGAAAACGUCACAAUAGACAGAAAACAUAAUAGAUUUAAUUGUUGACAGCUUAAAAGUUACAAGACAACAUUAAAAAUGAAGCUAUCAUAACAUAUAGAAAAUUUAGGCAAGAGAAAUACACAAGAUAUUUACUCGAUAAUUUAGGUAAUUUCCUACUUCCUGGGUUACUCUUCUAAUUCUUGAGGGCUUAGAGAGAAACACAAGAUCUUUAAGGAUCACUUCUUGAUUUUUUGUUUAUUUGAGACUGAUGGUUUUUCUUUCAUUUCUUUGGGCUAAGCAACAAGGUCCUUCUAAAGAUAUUUCUUUGUUUAUCUUACAUAAACAUGUCCUGCCUCAAUGUGUCUAAACAUGUCUUUCUCUGUGAUAGACAAACAGGUGGCAAAUGCAUGAACAUAUUUCAUUCGGGUAUACACACAUACACACGUAAACAUAUAAAUAUAUAUAUAUAGAGAGAGAGAGAGAUGACAAAGGUAGUCCUCUAAUAUAGGUAUUCAGAUCGUUUGGAAUUUCAAGAUAGGGGGAAAGAUGAACUGAGUGAGGAACUUCAUAGAUUGAGCAUUUAAACAAACUCCUUUUAUUUUUGCUUACAGAUCCAAACAGGUAGAUAAACUUCCAUUAAAGGUAAUUCCAGAUCAAACAGCCAAUUAACAUCACAAUAUCAUCAAUUUCCUUUAGACAUUUCACUAUUAUAAGAAUAGUGAUCUUUAGCACAAGAAAGCCUUCAACUAUAAAGCCAGUUUAUAUACAACUAGUAAAGCAUUCGUGACAAAAGAAAAGAUUACUUGAUAUCUUCUCUAAAAGUGCAAACACUUCUCUACUAGUUGGAAACUUUCAAAAAUAUCAUCUUACAACAAACAGGUUAAGGAAUAUUAACAUGAAGUCAUAAUUUAAGCAAGGCAACCUCUCGUGGUACAAUCUUAAAGCGGACAACGCUGAAAAAUUGAACAAACAGUUUUAUCACCAAGAAGGACAGAACAGGAGAAUCCUGGAACAACAAUCAAAAAAGCAAAUAGAAGGGAAGAUGGGGGUGAAAUUAACGUAGCAGUUCUUUCAAGAACUUUAGUUCAGUGAAAACAGGAGAAAAUGACAGAGUUGCCAUGAAAUUGAACCUGAAAAAUUUGAACAGAGACAUGCGAAACAAGCAAAAG